CGCGUGAGGAACCUGCCUCAAAGAGGGGGACAACAGUUGGAAACGACUGCUAAUACCGCAUAAGCCCACGACCCGGCAUCGGGUAGAGGGAAAAGGAGCAAUCCGCUUUGAGAUGGCCUCGCGUCCGAUUAGCUAGUUGGUGAGGUAACGGCCCACCAAGGCGACGAUCGGUAGCCGGACUGAGGGGUUGAACGGCCACAUUGGGACUGAGACACGGCCCAGACUCCUACGGGAGGCAGCAGUGGGGAAUAUUGCACAAUGGGGGAAACCCUGAUGCAGCGACGCCGCGUGGAGGAAGAAGGUCUUCGGAUUGUAAACUCCUGUUGUUGAGGAAGAUAAUGACGGUACUCAACAAGGAAGUGACGGCUAACUACGUGCCAGCAGCCGCGGUAAAACGUAGGUCACAAGCGUUGUCCGGAAUUACUGGGUGUAAAGGGAGCGCAGGCGGGAAGACAAGUUGGAAGUGAAAUCCAUGGGCUCAACCC
rnacentral:rRNA from 1 species